UGGGGAAUUUUGGACAAUGGGCGAAAGCCUGAUCCAGCAAUGCCGCGUGUGUGAAGAAGGCCUUCGGGUUGUAAAGCACUUUUGUCCGGAAAGAAAUCCUUGGCUCUAAUACAGUCGGGGGAUGACGGUACCGGAAGAAUAAGCACCGGCUAACUACGUGCCAGCAGCCGCGGUAAUACGUAGGGUGCAAGCGUUAAUCGGAAUUACUGGGCGUAAAGCGUGCGCAGGCGGUUUGCUAAGACCGAUGUGAAAUCCCCGGGCUCAACCUGGGAACUGCAUUGGUGACUGGCAGGCUAGAGUAUGGCAGAGGGGGGUAGAAUUCCACGUGUAGCAGUGAAAUGCGUAGAGAUGUGGAGGAAUACCGAUGGCGAAGGCAGCCCCCUGGGCCAAAUACUGACGCUCAUGCACGAAAAGCGUGGGGGAGCAAAACAGGAUUAGAUACCCCUGGUAGUCCACGCCCUAAACGAUGUCAACUAGUUGUUGGGGGAUUCAUUUCCUUAGUAACGUAGCUAACGCGUGAAGUUGACCGCCUGGGGAGUACGGUCGCAAGAUUAAAACUCAAAGGAAUUGACGGGGUCAUAGCUGUUUCCU
rnacentral:rRNA from 1 species